UCCUUCCUGGUGUAGUGGUUAAUACCCUCACCUGCUGCUGGGGAAAAGUGGGGAGGUCUAGUGUUCGAAUCCCUUGGGUGGAU